rnacentral:rRNA from 1 species
AGGGCGUACGGUGAAUGCCUUGGUGCCAACAGGCGAAGAAGGACGCGGCAAGCUGCGAAAAGCCUCGGGAAGCUGCAAGCAAGCGAUGAUCCGGGGAUAUCCGAAUGGGGUAACCUGAUCGAGGCAAUACUCGAUCGUUCAUACCUGAAUACAUAGGGUAUGAAACGCGAAACCCGCUGAAGUGAAACAUCUCAGUAAGCGGAGGAAAAGAAAGAGAAAUCGAUUCCGUAAGUAGUGGCGAGCGAAAGCGGAUGGAGCCCAAACCGAAGGUAUUCCUUCGGGGUUGUAGGACCACGUCAUAUUCGACCAUACUGGAUAGUAGAACAGCCUGGAAAGGCUGGCCGGAGAAGGUGAAAGCCCUGUAGACGAAAUCCAGAGUGGGAAUUAGUGGUAUCCUGAGUAAUACAUCACACGUGGAACGAUGUAUGAACCCGCGCGGACCACCGCGCAAGGCUAAAUACUAGUUGGCGACCGAUAGUGAACAAGUACCGCGAGGGAAAGGUGAAAAGAACCGCUGUGAGCGGAGUGAAAUAGAACCUGAAACCGUAUGUCUACAAAGUGUCAGAGCAGAGCAAUCUGCGAUGGCGUGCCUUUUGUUUAAUGAGUCUGCGAGUCAGUGUUUGUGGCAAGACUAAGGGCUUCCGGCCCGGAGUCGCAGCGAAAGCAAGUCCGAACAGGGCGCAAUAAGUCGCAGGUACUGGACCCGAAGCGGAGGUGACCUACCCUUGGCCAGGUUGAAGCAUGGGUAAAACCAUGUGGAGGACCGAACAGGUGAACGUUGAAAAGUUCUCUGAUGAGCUGAGGGUAGGAGUGAAAGGCUAAUCAAACCCCGUGAUAGCUGGUUCUCUUCGAAAUGCAUUUAGGUGCAGCGUCACGUGCUGAUGCGCGGGGGUAGAGCACUGACAAGGCUAGGGGGCACACCCGCUUACCAAACCUUAUCAAACUCCGAAUACCGUGCAAUGGAACGUGGCAGUGAGACAGUGGGGGAUAAGCUUCAUUGUCGAGAGGGAAACAACCCAGACCAGCAGCUAAGGUGCCUAAAUAACGCUCAGUGGAAAGGAUGUGGGAUUACACAGACAGUGAGGAUGUUGGCUUAGAAGCAGCCACCAUUUAAAAAAUGCGUAAUAGCUUACUCAUCGAGUGAUCCUGCGCCGAAAAUGAUUGGCGAUCAAGCGUUAUACCGAAGCUCUGGACUUUGCCGCAAGGCAGAGUGGUAGAAGAGCGUUGCAUGCGCGUCGAAGGGCGAUGGCGACUGACCCUGGAGCACAUGCAAGUGAGUAUGCAGACAUGAGUAACGUUAAGCCGGGUGAAAUCCCCGGCCGCCGUAAACCCGAGGUUUCCAGGGCAACGUGUUUCGUCCCUGGGUUAGCCGGGACCUAAGCCGAGGCCGAGAGGCGUAGGCGAUGGACAUCAGGUUAAUAAUCCUGAGCUCGCAACCCUUAAACUGGGGGGACGCAUGAGAAAAGAUGACUAGGUUAUUGAAUUCCGAGUUGAGUCUACGGACUCAGCGCAUCAUUGGAUCGAGUGCCAAGAAAAGCCCCAGCGUAUGCUAAGCGACCCGUACCGCAAACCGACACAGGUGGGUGGGUAGAAUAUACCAAGGCGUAAGAGUGAAACCUGGUUAAGGAACUCGGCAAAUUAGCCCCGUAACUUCGGAAGAAGGGGUGCCUGCAGCGAUGCAGGCCGCAGAGAAAUGGCCCAACCGACUGUUUAUCAAAAACACAGCACUCUGCAAAGACGCAAGUCGAAGUAUAGGGUGUGACACGUGACCAAUGCCGAAAGAUUAAGGCAAGGGGUUAGCCGCAAGGCGAAGCUCUAAACCCAAGUCCCGGUGAAUGUCGGCCGUAACUAUAACGGUCCUAAGGUAGCGAAAUUCCUUGUCGGGUAAGUUCCGACCUGCACGAAUCGUGAAACGAGUUGGGCACUGUCUCAACCAGGCGCUCAGUGAAAUUGUAGUGGCGGUGAAGAUGCCGCCUACCCGCAGAAGGACGGAAAGACCCUAUAGACCUUAACUGUAAGCUGUCAUUGUUUCUUCGGUUUUAAUGCUCAGAGUAAGUGGGAGACGCUGAAGACGCCCUUUAGGGGGCGUCCGAGUCAUCAAUGAGACACCACCCUUUGAAACUGGAGGAUCUAACCCUGAGCCGUGAAUCCGGCCAGAGGACCGUGUCAGCCGGUCAGUUUUACUGGGGCGGUAUCCUCCCAAAGAGUAACGGAGGAGCGCGAAGGUGGGCUCAGCCCGGUUGGCAACCGGGUGUCGAGUGCAUGGGCAUAAGCCCGCCUAACUGUGAGACCAACAAGUCGAGCAGAUGCGAAAGCAGGCCCAAGUGAUCCGGCGGUAGAAAGUGGAAUUGCCGUCGCUCAACGGAUAAAAGGUACCUUAGGGAUAACAGGCUGAUCACGCCCAAGAGUUCAUAUCGACGGCGUGGUUUGGCACCUCGAUGUCGGCUCGUCGCAUCCUGGGGCU